GAUGAACGCUGGCGGCGUGCUUAACACAUGCAAGUCGAACGGAAAGGCCAGUGCUUGCACUGGUACUCGAGUGGCGAACGGGUGAGUAACACGUGGGUGAUCUGCCCUGCACUUCGGGAUAAGCCUGGGAAACUGGGUCUAAUACCGGAUAGGACAAUGGUUUGGAUGCCGUUGUGGAAAGUUUUUUCGGUGUGGGAUGAGCUCACGGCCUAUCAGCUUGUUGGUGGGGUAAUGGCCUACCAAGGCGUCGACGGGUAGCCGGCCUGAGAGGGUGUACGGCCACAUUGGGACUGAGAUACGGCCCAGACUCCUACGGGAGGCAGCAGUGGGGAAUAUUGCACAAUGGGCGCAAGCCUGAUGCAGCGACGCCGCGUGGGGGAUGACGGCCUUCGGGUUGUAAACUCCUUUCGCUAGGGACGAAGCGUAUUUGUGACGGUACCUGGAGAAGAAGCACCGGCUAACUACGUG
rnacentral:rRNA from 1 species